AUGUCAUCAGUUGAGUCUCUAGGCCUGUUUCUUUGGAUAGUAGGUUCCCCUCAAUCUGUAAGACAAGCAGAAAACAGAUUUGUUAGGUCAUUGGAGACAAUUGUAAGGAAGUUUGAUAAGGUUUUGGAAUGUCUGGUCAAGCUUGCAAAAGACAUCAUCAGGCCAGUAGAUCGUCAAUUCAGAACUGUGCAUUCAAAAUUAAGAUCUAGAAAGUAUGCACCAUUUAUGGAUAAUUGCAUUGGUGCAAUAGAUGGGACACACAUACAAGUUGUGGUACCACUUGCCACUGCUGCCCAGCAUAGGAAUAGACAUAAGGAGAAGAGUCAGAAUGUGAUGGUGUGUGACUUUGAUAUGAGAUUCACAUUUGUCCUAGCUGGUUGGCCAGGAUCAGUGCAUGACAUGAGGGUCUUCAAUGAUGCACGAUCCAGAUUUGGUGACAAGUUUCCAAAACCAUCACCUAAUAAGUUUUAUCUUGUGGACUCAGGGUACCCAAAUAGACCGGGUUAUCUUGCACCAUACAAGGGUUUAACCUAUCAUUUCCAGGAGUACCGUGAUGGCACAAUGCCUAGAGGAAAAAAGGAACACUUCAAUUUCACCCAUUCUUCACUUAGAAAUGUCAUCGAGAGGUGUUUUGGAGUCUUGAAGAACAAGUGGAGGAUUUUGUUUCACUUGCCUAGUUAUCCAUAG
rnacentral:rRNA from 1 species